rnacentral:rRNA from 1 species
GGGAGGUAAAUUUCUCCUAAGGCUAAAUAUUGGCGAGAGACCGAUAGCGAACAAGUACCGUGAGGGAAAGAUGAAAAGAACUUUGAAAAGAGAGUUAAACAGUACGUGAAAUUGUUGAAAGGGAAACGAUUGAAGUCAGUCAUACCAACGGGAAAUCAACCUUUUGAGCUUGGUCUCGUGGGUUUUGAAGAGUUUCAAAGCCUUCGGAUUCGCUUGAUUGCCAACUCUUGGUGUACUUUUUCGUACGGUUAGUCAACAUCGGUUUUGAAUGUCAUAUAAUGACUGAAGGAAUGUAGCUUCGAUA